UACGUAGGUGGCAAGCGUUGUCCGGAAUUAUUGGGCGUAAAGCGCGCGCAGGCGGCUUCUUAAGUCUGAUGUGAAAUCUCGGGGCUCAACCCCGAGCGGCCAUUGGAAACUGGGAAGCUUGAGUAACAGAAGAGGAGAGUGGAAUUCCACGUGUAGCGGUGAAAUGCGUAGAUAUGUGGAGGAACACCAGUGGCGAAGGCGACUCUCUGGUCUGUAACUGACGCUGAGGCGCGAAAAGCGUGGGGGAGCAAACAGG
rnacentral:rRNA from 1 species